rnacentral:rRNA from 1 species
GGACCCGACUGCUAUCAGAGUGGGAAUAAGCCCUGCGAGUCAACAUAGCAAUAUGUGGCAUACGGGUCAGUAACACGUAGUCAACAUGCCCAGGGGACGUGGAUAACCUCGGGAAAAUGAGGAUAAACCGCGAUAGGUCAUCACUUUUGGAAUGGGUAAUGACUUAAACCUAUAUGGCCCCUGGAUUGGACUGCGGCCGAUCAGGCUGUUGGUGAGGUAAUGGCCCCCCCAACCUGUAACCGGUACGGGGUUCGAGAGGAGGAGCCCGGAGAUGGGCACUGAGACAAGGGCCCCGGCCCUAUGGGGCGCAGCCGGCGCGAAACCUUUGCAAUAGGGGAAAGCUUGACAGGGUUACUUUGAGUGAUUUCCGUUAAGGAGAUUUUUUGGCACCUCUAAAAAUGGUGCAGAAUAAGGGGUGGGCAAGUUUGGUGU